rnacentral:pre_miRNA from 1 species
AUACCUUUCUUUGCUCAGUGAGUGGACAAUCAGCCAAUAAUUUUCUUUGCUCAGUGGGUAUUGGCUCAUUGUCCACAUACUGAGCAAAAAAAGCAUUGGCUCAUUGUCCACAUACUGAGCAAAAAAAAGCAUUGGCUCAUUGUCCACUCACUGAGCAAAAAAAGUA